AUUGAACGCUGGCGGCAUGCCUUACACAUGCAAGUCGAACGGCAGCACGGGAGCAAUCCUGGUGGCGAGUGGCGAACGGGUGAGUAAUAUAUCGGAACGUGCCCAGUCGUGGGGAUAACGUAGCGAAAGCUACGCUAAUACCGCAUACGAUCUAUGGAUGAAAGCGGGGGAUCGCAAGACCUCGCGCGAUUGGAGCGGCCGAUAUCAGAUUAGGUAGUUGGUGAGGUAAAGGCUCACCAAGCCGACGAUCUGUAGCUGGUCUGAGAGGACGACCAGCCACACUGGGACUGAGACACGGCCCAGACUCCUACGGGAGGCAGCAGUGGGGAAUUUUUGGGACAAUGGGCGCAAGCCUGAUCCAGCAAUGCCGCGUGCAGGAUGAAGGCUGGUGUAACUGCUUUGUAC
rnacentral:rRNA from 1 species